UACGUAGGAUGCAAGCGUUGUCCGGAAUUAUUGGGCGUAAAGAGCGCGCAGGCGGUCUGCCAAGUCAGAUGCGAAAGAGGCCGGCUUAACCGGCAAGGGUCAUUUGAAACUGACAGACUAGAGUGCAGCAGAGGAUAGCGGAAUUCCCGGUGUAGUGGUGAAAUGCGUAGAUAUCGGGAGGAACACCAGUGGCGAAGGCGGCUAUCUGGGCUGCAACUGACGCUGAGGCGCGAAGGCUAGGGUAGCAAACAGG
rnacentral:rRNA from 1 species